rnacentral:rRNA from 1 species
GCACUUAAAGUUUGACUCCCCGAAACUAAGCGAGCUACUCCAAAGCAACCUCACGGGCCAACCCGUCUCUGUUGCAAAAGAGUGGGAAGACUUUAGAGUAGAGGUGACACACCUACCGGGCUUAGAGAUAGCUGGUUAUUCAAGAAAAGGAUCUUAGUCCACCUUUAAGUUUUUAUAAGUACUUUAAAACACCCUAUAAACUUAAAAGCCACUCAAAUAAGGUACAGCCUAUUUGAAAAAGGAAACAGCCUACGAUAUAGGGUAAUGAUUUACCUUAUGUGACCAAGUUGGCCUAAGAGCAGCUACCUUAUAGAAAGCGUCCAAGCUUCAUCACAAACCCUCAUUAAUUCCAAAAUUAAUUCAUAACCCCCAACCACUACUGAAUCUCCCUAUACUUAUAUAGGUAAUAUCAUGCUAGAACUAGUAAAAAGAAGAAGACCUCCUCCAAAAAUGUAAGCGUAAGCCAAAAUGAACACUCACCGGCAAUUACCGCCAUAAACCUGCAGUAUUAACACCACAAGAAAAUCAUACUCCAACUAACGUCAACCUUACACCAGAACAUUCCUGGAAAGAUUAAAA